UACGUAGGGUGCGAGCGUUAAUCGGAAUUACUGGGCGUAAAGCGUGCGCAGGCGGUUGUGCAAGACAGAUGUGAAAUCCCCGGGCUUAACCUGGGAACUGCAUUUGUGACUGCACGGCUAGAGUGUGUCAGAGGGGGGUAGAAUUCCACGUGUAGCAGUGAGAUGCGUAGAUAUGUGGAGGAAUACCGAUGGCGAAGGCAGCCCCCUGGGAUAACACUGACGCUCAUGCACGAAAGCGUGGGGAGCAAACAGG
rnacentral:rRNA from 1 species